CCGUCUAUGGUGGAAACCAUUGUAGAUGUGCCUUCACCAAACCAAGUUGUCGAUGAUAGUCCUCAAAGACCCAGCUACCAGACACGAGUAUUUAUCCCAUAUAGUGUUGAUGAUGCCUCAAUAGGAUGGUUAGAGACAUGCUUUAGAAGGCCACGUCUCUAAUCAUCACCCUCGACCACAUACAUGCAUCUCUAUUGUGGCGCCAGCAAUUUGGAAGACAUUAUGUAAGCCCCACUUAUCGGAGAGGCAACUAGAUUGAUGAGACACAUCUCUAGACAUAUUGACACGAGCGGUG
rnacentral:lncRNA from 1 species